UCCUACGGGAGGCAGCAGUGGGGAAUAUUGCGCAAUGGGCGAAAGCCUGACGCAGCGACGCCGCGUGAGGGAUGAAGGUUUUCGGAUCGUAAACCUCUGUCAGAAGGGAAGAAACUACAUUGUGCUAAUCAGCAGUGUACUGACGGUACCUUCAAAGGAAGCACCGGCUAACUCCGUGCCAGCAGCCGCGGUAA
rnacentral:rRNA from 1 species